AACGGAAAUAUUUAUAACACCAGUUUUGUUGUAGCGAAGACCCCGAAACAAUGUGGGCGCUCAAAGAUUGAGGCCAGCAAAUUCUGGUAUAUGAAUGUAAUGGACUGUUAUUGUGCCAUAAGAAAUUGAAUUUCCAAGCAACUUACUUGGUAAGACUUGAAUCAACUCAGAUGUGGAGCAAAAGCUGCCCCAAGAGAACACAGAAUGCAAAGACCGUAGUAAGGGUCACACUAACAUGGUUCCUUCCAAGGUUGGAAAAACCUCACCCAAUCCCUCAGAAUCAUACCCUUUGUGCCUGAGGAGACCACUCAUGUCAUCUCAUCUUUGCCUGUCAAGGUUGUUGAUGCAUUGGGACAAAUUGAGCAUUCUACACAAAGCAGAGACAAAGUAAGGCCUCCAUUUCCUCAUUUGUCAAUGAGCUCUCAAAUCACUUCCUGGUCUGAAUCCUCUGAUCCUAUCUAUGUUGCUAGGGUUCUCCUCCCACCGCUCUGACUGGUCCUUCUCAGCCUGCUUUUCGGGAUGGUCAUUCAGGUCCUGUCACCUUCACCAUGGACGUAAUUCAAGGAACUGGCCUGAAUUCUAUUAUCUUCUCUCUCUACCAUCUCUCCCUUGGUGAUCUCAUCAGCUUCUGCCGGUUCACUUAUCAUCUCAACAAAGAGGUCUGAGGGUGCUGGGGCCUGAGAAUGCCAAGGCAGAGUCGCCUGGAAUGAAUUCACACACUCAAGCCAUCUUUCAGUCAAGAGGCAUAUUCUAACGUCAAUAGUAGCGGGUAGAGUUCCUUUUGAGAACUUGCAACCUAAGCUCUAGUGAAUCUAGAGUUUAUAUAGAAAAGAGGCAUGGGAAAGGAAUGCCAGGAAUGCUAAUUAGGUACUCUAAGGGUCAAGACUCCUCAGUUCCACCUCCCCAACAUAGCUCUGUUCUCCCCACUCACCACAUCCAACCGAGUUCAGCCCCUCACAAUUCUUCUCACCUGGACUACUGCAGGAAGCUCCUAAUUGGUUUCUGUGCCCUCCCCCCGCCCCUAUUCAUCUGUCAUCCAUUCUCCACACAGCCUCCUGAAGUGCAGGUCUGACCAUGCUGCCUGCUUUUGAGCAACUCUAGUGGUCCGUUGUUACUUAGAGCAAAGCUUCUUAAACUUUUUCCACUCUUGUCUGCUUUCCACCCAAGAAAUUUUUACGAGACCCUGGGUAUAUAGGUAUACAAAAAGGUAUACAAAUCAAACAUUUACUGAUAA